AUGAAGUACCUGGGCCUCCCCCUUUCGAUCUGGCAGCUCAAAAGGGUUGACUUUCAACUCCUUGAGGAUAAGAUUGCGGCGAGGUUGCCCCCCUGGCAGGGGCGGAACAUUACCACCAUUGGGCGGGCGGCCUUGGUGAAAUCGAUCCUCACCUCACAAGUUGUCUACCACAUCACCCCGCUCACAGUCCCCCCUGGUGUGCUGCAAAGCAUCAACAAGAUUGAGCGGGCUUUUUUGUGGUCAGCUAGUGACACAACUACAGGAGCAAAAUGCAAGGUCAAUUGGGAGACAGUCUGCCGCCCUACACAGCUCGGUGGGCUUGGCAUACUCCACUUGGGGAAAUUUGCGAGAGCUCUCAGGAUGAGAUGGCCCUGGAUGGCAUGGAAGGACCCAUCUAAGUUGUGGGUUGGCCUG
rnacentral:rRNA from 1 species